UUUUAAAUCCGUGGUAGCGAAAAUCCUUUUUGUUGGCAUUAACUCAGCAUUACAGGAAGUAACAAAAAGAUUGAAACGUAUGACGGGAACAAAC
rnacentral:sRNA from 2 species